rnacentral:rRNA from 1 species
UACAGAGGUCUCAACCGUUGUUCGGAUUCAUUGGGCGUAAAGGGUGCGUAGGCGGUCGCGCAAGUCGGAUGUGAAAUCUCAGGGCUCAACCCUGAAACUGCAUUCGAUACUGCGUGGCUAGAGUGCUGGAGAGGAGACUGGAAUUUACGGUGUAGCGGUGAAAUGCGUAGAUAUCGUAAGGAAGACCAGUGGCGAAGGCGGGUCUCUGGACAGUUCCUGACGCUGAGGCACGAAGGCCAGGGGAGCAAACGGG